ACUUAGCUCAGUGGCAAAGCAUCUGCACUGCACACAGAAGGUCCCUGGUUCAAUCCCUGGCAUCUCUA